rnacentral:rRNA from 1 species
UGCAGUCGAACGAGAANUCCCAAUUUUAUCGGGAUGGAAAGUGGCGGACGAGCGAGUAACACGUAAGCAUCUGCCCCGUACUCAGGGACAACCUGCCGAAAGGUGGGCUAAUACCGGAUAGUCUGGCAACAGUAAAGAUUUUUCGGUACGGGAGGAGCUUGCGGCUUAUCAGUUUGUUGGUGGGGUAAUGGCCUACCAAGACUAUGACGAGUAGCUGGUGUGAGAGCAUGACCAGCCGCGAUGGGACUGAGACACGGCCCAUACUCCUACGGGAGGCAGCAGUAAGGAAUCUUCCGCAAUGGGCGAAAGCCUGACGGAGCGACACCGCGUGGUGGAUGACACUCUUCGGAGCGUAAACACCUUUUCUAUGGGAAGAAAGUCUGACGGUACCAUAGGAAUAAGCCUCGGCUAAUUACGUGCCAGCAGCCGCGGUAAUACGUAAGAGGCAAGCGUUACCCGGAAUCAUUGGGCGUAAAGCGUCCGCAGGUUGGAUAUUAAGUUGAUUAUGAAAUACUAGGGCUCAACUCUAGUGCUGUAGUCAAAACUGGUAUCCUAGAGAAAUGGAGAGGUAUGUGGAAUUCUGCAAGUAGGGGUAAAAUCCGUAGAUAUGCAGAGGAACACCAAAAGCGAANGCAGCAUACUGGCCAUUUUCUGACACUCANNGACGAAAGCGUGGGGAGCGAAAGGGAUUAGAUACCCCUGUAGUCCACGCCGUAAACGAUGCGUGCUCGGUGUANNUUCCCUCGACCUGGAAUCUGUGCCUAANAUAACUCGAUAAGCACGCCGCCUGUGUAGUACGAUCGCAAGAUUAAAACACAAA